AAAUCCUCGUUCGCUAUCACCACCAUUUUCUUGCUUCUUUUGGUUGCCAAUGGCAUCAAUGCAAGAAAAGAUGUGGGUGAAUAUUGGAAAGGUGCAAUGAAACCCACAACUGAAAAUUUUGAUGAGCACAAGAAACAGAAGAAUUUUGUGGUAGAUUUUGAGCCAAUAUCUAAUUUAUGGGUUUACAAUGAUGAUGCUCUUCUUAAAGAAAAGAAGUCAUUUGCAUUUGUUAAAGACUUUGAGCCAAGCCCUAACUUAUCAAUAUAUGAUAAAGAUGAUGAUCUUAAGGACCAGAAGAAGUCAUUUGCUAAUGAUUUCGAACCCAGGCCAAAUGUUUCAAUUUACAAUGAGUAAAAUUCUUCCCGAG
rnacentral:misc_RNA from 1 species